rnacentral:tRNA from 1 species
CAACAAGUAGUUUAUAAGAAUAUUAAUUUUGGGUAUUAAAGGUAUAUAGUUUUUUUAUUUUGUUGA